AGUCGAAAUCCGCUAAGGAG
rnacentral:snRNA from 1 species